GCUGUGAGGGAUGUUGGCUGGCUCGACGCUAUCGCACCGCACCGUUUUCCUCAUCGAUCUCGUUUUUUUCGGAAAUUCGUAUGAUUUACGAGUCUCUGAUGUGCGCGUGCGAAGGCUUCGAUCGGACCAGGCUUCAUUCCUCUCAAC
rnacentral:pre_miRNA from 1 species